rnacentral:rRNA from 1 species
UACGAAGGGGGCUAGCGUUGUUCGGAAUUACUGGGCGUAAAGCGCGCGCAGGCGGUCCUUUAAGUCAGGGGUGAAAGCCCAGAGCUCAACUCUGGAACUGCCUUUGAAACUAGAGGACUUGGGUACGGGAGAGGUGAGUGGAAUUCCGAGUGUAGAGGUGAAAUUCGUAGAUAUUCGGAAGAACACCAGUGGCGAAGGCGGCUCACUGGCCCGUUACCGACGCUCAGGCGCGAAAGCGUGGGGAGCAAACAGG